AGAGUUUGAUCAUGGCUCAGAUUGAACGCUGGCGGCAUGCCUUACACAUGCAAGUCGAACGGUAACGCGGGGGCAACCCUGGCCCGAGUUGCGAAAGCGUUUGAAAUACUACAUCGGAACGUACCCAGUAGUGGGGGAUAGCUCGGCGAAAGCCGGAUUAAUACCGCAUAUGCCUACGGGUGAAAGCGGGGGACCGCAAGGCCUCGCGCUAUUGGAGCGGCCGAUGUCGGAUUAGCCUGUUUGGUGGGGUAAAAGCCUACCAAGGCGACGAUCCGUAGCUGGUCUGAGAGGACGACCAGCCACACUGGGACUGAGACACGGCCCAGACUCCUACGGGAGGCAGCAGUGGGGAAUUUUGGACAAUGGGCGAAAGCCUGAUCCAGCAAUGCCGCGUGUGUGAAGAAGGCCUUCGGGUUGUAAAGCACUUUUGGCGGGAACGAAACAGCGCUUGCUAAUACCGAGCGCGAAUGACGGUACCCGCAGAAUAAGCACCGGCUAACUACGUGCCAGCAGCCGCGGUAAUACGUAGGGUGCAAGCGUUAAUCGGAAUUACUGGGCGUAAAGCGUGCGCAGGCGGCUUUGUAAGACAGAUGUGAAAGCCCCGGGCUUAACCUGGGAAGUGCAUUUGUGACUGCAAGGCUAGAGUGCGUCAGAGGGAGGUGGAAUUCCGCGUGUAGCAGUGAAAUGCGUAGAGAUGCGGAGGAACACCGAUGGCGAAGGC
rnacentral:rRNA from 1 species